GUUAUGGGGGUGCGGGUAGCAGCAAUGCCCCGGACGCUACUGUAAGUGCGUUAGGACACCCCUGCCCAAUUU
ncrna:unclassified sequences c4-2 RNA